GACGAACGCUGGCGGCGUGCUUAACACAUGCAAGUCGAACGACGUGGCGAACGGGUGAGUAAUACGUGGGUAAACUGCCCUACUUUUGGGGAUAAGCCUUGGAAACGGGGUCUAAUACCGAAUCAAGGGGGAUGUGCUCGGGGCCUAUCAGCUUGUUGGUGGGGUGCUGGCCGACCAAGGCGGUGCCGGGUAGCCGGGCUGAGAGGGUGAACGGCCACAUAGGGACGGAGAGACGUCCUAGGCUCGUACGCGGUGGAGCAUUGUGGGAAAUUGGACAAUGGGCGAAAGCGUGAUGCAGCGACGCUGCGGGGGGUAUGAAGGCUUUCGGGUUGUAAACGUCUGUCGCUAUCGAACGGGUAGGUGGAGAAGAAGCGCCGGCUAACUACGUGCCAGCAGCCGCGGUAAUUC
rnacentral:rRNA from 1 species